rnacentral:rRNA from 1 species
GACGAACGCUGGCGGCGUGCUUAACACAUGCAAGUCGAACGGAAAGGCCCUGCUUUUGUGGGGUGCUCGAGUGGCGAACGGGUGAGUAACACGUGAGUAACCUGCCCUUGACUUUGGGAUAACUUCAGGAAACUGGGGCUAAUACCGGAUAGGAGCUCCUGCUGCAUGGUGGGGGUUGGAAAGUUUCGGCGGUUGGGGAUGGACUCGCGGCUUAUCAGCUUGUUGGUGGGGUAGUGGCUUACCAAGGCUUUGACGGGUAGCCGGCCUGAGAGGGUGACCGGCCACAUUGGGACUGCGAUACGGCCCAGACUCCUACGGGAGGCAGCAGUGGGGAAUAUUGCACAGUGGGCGGAAGCCUGAUGCAGCAGCGCCGCGUGCGGGAUGACGGCCUUCGGGUUGUAAACCGCUUUCGCCUGUGACGAAGCGUGAGUGACGGUAAUGGGUAAAGAAGCACCGGCUAACUACGUG